AUUGAACGCUGGCGGCAUGCUUUACACAUGCAAGUCGAACGGCAGCGGGGGCGUUCGGCCUGCCGGCGAGUGGCGAACGGGUGAGUAAUGCAUCGGAACGUGCCCAGUCAUGGGGGAGUAACUACGCGAAAGACGUAGCUAAUACCGCAUACGCCCUCGAGGGGGAAAGGUAGGGGGAGUCUUCGGACCUCACGUGAUUGGAGCGGCCGAUGUCGGAUUAGCUAGUUGGUGGGGUAAAAGGACCCACCAAGGCGACGAUCCGUAGCGGGUCUGAGAGGAUGAUCCGCCACACUGGGACUGAGACACGGCCCAGACUCCUACGGGAGGCAGCAGUGAGGAAUAUUGGUCAAUGGACGCAAGUCUGAACCAGCCACGUCGCGUGAAGGAAGACGGCCCUACGGGUUGUAAACUUCUUUUAUACGGGAAUAAAGUGCCCCACGCGUGGGGUUUUGUCAUGUACCGUAUGAAUAAGGAUCGGCUAACUCCGUG
rnacentral:rRNA from 1 species